rnacentral:lncRNA from 1 species
CUACUCAGCCCCAGCGGAGGUGAAGGACGUCCUUCCCCAGGAGCCGACUGGCCAAUCACAGGCAGGAAGAUGAAGGUUCUGUGGGCUGCGUUGCUGGUCACAUUCCUGGCAGGUAUGGGGGCGGGGCUUGCUCGGUUCCCCCCGCUCCUCCCCCUCUCAUCCUCACCUCAACCUCCUGGCCCCAUUCAGGCAGACCCUGGGCCCCCUCUUCUGAGGCUUCUGUGCUGCUUCCUGGCUCUGAACAGCGAUUUGACGCUCUCUGGGCCUCGGUUUCCCCCAUCCUUGAGAUAGGAGUUAGAAGUUGUUUUGUUGUUGUUGUUUGUUGUUGUUGUUUUGUUUUUUUGAGAUGAAGUCUCGCUCUGUCGCCCAGGCUGGAGUGCAGUGGCGGGAUCUCGGCUCACUGCAAGCUCCGCCUCCCAGGUCCACGCCAUUCUCCUGCCUCAGCCUCCCAAGUAGCUGGGACUACAGGCACAUGCCACCACACCCGACUAACUUUUUUGUAUUUUCAGUAGAGACGGGGUUUCACCAUGUUGGCCAGGCUGGUCUGGAACUCCUGACCUCAGGUGAUCUGCCCGUUUCGAUCUCCCAAAGUGCUGGGAUUACAGGCGUGAGCCACCGCACCUGGCUGGGAGUUAGAGGUUUCUAAUGCAUUGCAGGCAGAUAGUGAAUACCAGACACGGGGCAGCUGUGAUCUUUAUUCUCCAUCACCCCCACACAGCCCUGCCUGGGGCACACAAGGACACUCAAUACAUGCUUUUCCGCUGGGCGCGG